rnacentral:rRNA from 1 species
GUAGGGUAUUGGCUUACCGUGGCAGUGACGGUUAACGGGGAAUUAGGGUUCGAUUCCGGAGAGGGAGCCUGAGAAACGGCUACCACAUCUAAGGAAGGCAGCAGGCGCGCAAAUUACCCAAUCCUAAGAGAACAAGGGAGGUAGUGACAAGAAAUAACAAUACAAGGCAUUAAAAUUGCUUUGUAAUUGGAAUGAUAGAAAUUUAAACACUUUCUAAAGUAUCAAUUGGAGGGCAAGUCUGGUGCCAGCAGCCGCGGUAAUUCCAGCUCCAAUAGCGUAUAUUAAAGUUGUUGCAGUUAAAAAGCUCGUAGUUGAAUUUUUGCUAAAAUUAACUGGUCUGCUUUAUAUUAAAGUAGUAUCUUGGUAUGUUUUUAGCAAUAGUGUCUUAUAGCAUGCUUUUUACUUAAAUGUAAAAAGCAAAAAUUAAGAGUUUUACUUUGAGAAAAUUAGAGUGUUUCAAGCAGGCUUACGCUUUGAAUACUGCAGCAUGGAAUAAUAAAAUAGGAUUUAAGUUCUACAUUGUUGGUUUUAAGAGCUUAAUUAAUGAUUAACAGAAACAGUUGGGGGCAUUUGUAUUUAACU